AUACGUGGCAUACGGCUCAGUAACACGUAGUCAACAUGCCCAGGGGACGUGGAUAACCUCGGGAAACUGAGGAUAAACCGCGAUAGGCCAAGAUUUCUGGAAUGAAUCAUGGUUUAAAUCUAUAUGGCCCCUGGAUUGGACUGCGGCCGAUCAGGCUGUUGGUGAGGUAAUGGCCCACCAAACCUGUAACCGGUACGGGCUCUGAGAGGAGGAGCCCGGAGAUGGGCACUUAGACAAGGGCCCAGGCCCUAUGGGGCGCAGCAGGCGCGAAACCUCUGCAAUAAGCGAAAGCUUGACAGGGUUACUCUGAGUGAUUUCCGCUAAGGAAGUCUUUUGGCACCUCUAAAAAUGGUGCAGAAUAAGGGGUGGGCAAGUCUGGUGUCAGCCGCCGCGGUAAUACCAGCACCCCGAGUGGUCGGGACGAUUAUUGGGCCUAAAGCAUCCGUAGCCGGUCCUGCAAGUCCUCCGUUAAAUCCACCCGCUCAACGGUUGGGCCGCGGGGGAUACUACAGGGCUAGGAGGCGGGAGAGGCAAGCGGUACUCGAUGGGUAGGGGUAAAAUCCACUGAUCCAUUGAAGACCACCAGUGGCGAAGGCGGCUUGCCAGAACGCGCUCGACGGUGAGGGAUGAAAGCUGGGGGAGCAAACCGGAUUAGAUACCCGGGUAGUCCCAGCUGUAAACGAUGCAGACUCGGUGAUGGGCUGGCUUCGUGCCAACUCGGUGCCGCAGGGAAGCCGUUAAGUCUGCCGCCUGGGGAGUACGGUCGCAAGACUGAAAC
rnacentral:rRNA from 1 species